rnacentral:tRNA from 1 species
AACGACAUAGUUUAAGUUGAGAUAGCUGCUCUGCAAGCAGUUGGUGAAUAUGUUUUCUGUCGUUG